AUUGAACGCUGGCGGCAUGCUUUACACAUGCAAGUCGAACGGUAACAGGCCUUCGGGUGCUGACGAGUGGCGAACGGGUGAGUAAUGCAUCGGAACGUACCCAGAGGUGGGGGAUAACGCAGCGAAAGCUGUGCUAAUACCGCAUGUGAUCUGAGGAUGAAAGCGGGGGACCGAGCAGCAAUGUUUGGCCUCGCGCCUUUGGAGCGGCCGAUGUCGGAUUAGCUAGUUGGUGGGGUAAAGGCCUACCAAGGCGACGAUCCGUAGCUGGUCUGAGAGGACGACCAGCCACACUGGGACUGAGACACGGCCCAGACUCCUACGGGAGGCAGCAGUGGGGAAUUUUGGACAAUGGGCGCAAGCCUGAUCCAGCAAUGCCGCGUGCGGGAAGAAGGCCUUCGGGUUGUAAACCGCUUUUGGCAGGAACGAAACGGUGUCCGCUAAUACCGGGCGCUAAUCACGGUACCUGCAGAAUAAGCACCGGCUAACUACGUG
rnacentral:rRNA from 1 species